rnacentral:rRNA from 1 species
GAUGAACGCUGGCGGUAUGCUUAACACAUGCAAGUCGAACGGACUCUUCGGAGUUAGUGGCGGACGGGUGAGUAACGCGUGAGAAUCUGGCUUUGGGUUCGGGACAACCACUGUAAACGGUGGCUAAUACCGGAUGUGCCGAGAGGUAAAAGAGAAAUUGCCUGAAGAUGAGCUCGCGUCUGAUUAGCUAGUUGGUGAGGUAAAGGCUCACCAAGGCAGAGAUCAGUAGCUGGUCUGAGGGGAGGACCAGCCACACUGGGACUGAGACACGGCCCAGACUCGUACGGGAGGCAGCAGGGGGGAAGAUUGGAGAAUGGGGGGAAGACGGAUCCAGCCAUAGCGCGUGGGGGAAGAAGGACUUCGGGGUGGAAAGCCCGUUGGUUGGGAAAGAAAAGCAGCAGGCUAAUACCCCGCUGUUAGGAAGGUACCCAAAGAAUAAGCACCGGCUAACUUCGGG